rnacentral:lncRNA from 1 species
ACUCGGUGUAGCAGCCGCGGUCCCACAGCUCCUCUGGGGCCCGAGUCUAGAGCCGGCCCGCCUCGGCCCGGCCGCCGCCCGUCGCUCCCGUCCCCGCGGAACAUCGCUGAGGCGGGCUGAGCGGCGCGGCGGGUUCUUUCUUCCCGCCCUUCCCGGAGCGAGUUCAGCCAAUCGGUGCCAGGAGCUACUCUGGGCCGUCCAAUGGGCGCAGCGGCCCGCCCGAAGGUCCCGCCCCUUGGCCAUCUCCUCAGGAUUGGCCUCGCGCUCUGCCUGCGCUGUGAGGGGCUCCGAGCGGCGGUGCUCCGCUGUCGUGCGCUUUGUUCUGCGACAGACUUUUCCUAUCCCUCCCCAGUGAACCGGUUAUGUGCCUGAGAAGUCCAUGUCAGCACUCUCAAACAGGACGGGCUGUGCACUGCAGAGGAGAUUGCACACCUGAAAAACCUUCUACUGUCCCUACAUUUCGCUGUUCUACAGGCAACUGCCGGGCAUGUGCAUGACUUAUGGAGCUGUUCAGCAAAUGCUGAUGUCUGUAGAAGUGUAAGAUGAAGUUUCCACCAGUUUCAGAAAGGAUUCAUACAGCUUUCAAAAAUAUCAUUUAAAAUCAUCACAGUAGAUACUAAGGAAGGAAAUAAAAUAAGCCUACACGUCAGCCUGUGAUUCACAUUGCCCUUUGAAGUUCUGCAUGUAGAUUCUUGUCUUUUUCUUAGAGCAAACUACUCAAGUUCAUGUGCUUCUUUCUUCUUAGAGAUCUAAAUUCAGUCAUAGUUUUGUUUUAAAGUAAAACUUAUAUCAGGCCAUCUAGUGCUGUGGUUGUCCUUCAGCUUGCUUCAGCUUUUUGUCUGAGUUUCUAAAAAGGCAAAAGAUAGGGAGGUUAUUUUGAAAAUCUUCAUAUUUUUUCUGAAAAUCCCGUUUUGCCAAUCUGUGCAGAAGUGCCUCAGGCACUCAAAUGAAGAAAGAUAAAGCUUUCACAUGGUUACAUUCUGUUGGGGCAUGCAUGCUUAAAACUGUCUUAUUUGUGUAAUGGCCAUAGAAACAGCCCUACAAAAGGAAUUCAGAGUGUAGAGAGAAGAGCCUGGGGCAAUUGUUGGGAUCAUGAAAAGCUGCCUGAAAGAAGCAGCCUGAGGUGACUGCAAUGAAUGAUACAGUUUUGAAGCCUGACAAAACCCUUAAAAGAUUUGGAAAGGACAGCUUAAUAUAGCUGAGUGCAAAUAAAGAGUGAGGGGCUGUAAAGGUGAAAACAAAACAAGAAACCAAAACAAAAAAAGCCCAGUGUGUGGUGGGAGUUACUACUCAGAGCUCUAUUAGUGACUCAUCUAGAACGAUCUUAUUUACUCUGCUGUGAUUCUCUGAAGUUAAACUAGCAUUUCCUGAACAUCAGAUACUUCCGUUGCUCUCUCAGUGGCAGCUUAGUUACUUAGGCCCAGUCAUUUCUGAAAUGCUGUUCUGAUUGUUUCACAUGACAAAUGGUUGACAACAUUUUGUGGGGUGGUUUUUGCUUUUUGUUUCAAGUUUCUGCUUUUAUGACUUGUUUGAAAAUACCUUCAGCAUUCUCUGCAAGAAUGUCCUGUAGCAUCUUCUCCAGUGCUUGUCCAUACUCUUGAUACUCUCUUUCUGUUAUCUUGACACCAAUUUCAAAAGGAACGUUAAACUAUAAAAACAUUAAAGAAGUUUAACAGAUGAUUUUUGGACAAGGACACUAGAAGAUAAUUUUAUUCGUAGGUGUGAUGAUAAGCAAGAGGUAGAAAAAUGUUAUCCAUUCAUUUAAUAAUGCUGAGACAUGUAGUGAUCAUCUGAUAAACAUAGUACAUGGCUACUGUAGAGACUGAACUGCACGAUAAACUGGAGGAGAGAAAACUAGAAGAAACUUGCUUUAUUAAAUGUUAGUUCUGAAAUGUAAGUGAAUCCUUAACAGGAGAUCAUGAUCUGCCUUUGUGCAUAUACUUUUAAAGUACUUCAUGCUAUCAGUGCUGGCAGUUUCCAUGUGUCUUUUUCUACAUACCCUUCAAGUUAAAUGACUGCGGCUCUCAUUUGUACACCUGUGGCAGAAAUUCUAUUCCCACUCCAACAAAAUCAUUUGAACUUGUAUGUGAGCAGGAGUGAAAAAUACACACCUUGAUAUCAACACUGUUAUUGUCAUCUUCUCCCUCUGUUUCAUCUGUAUCCCAAAAGCUUUCUGUGCCUCGGCGAUGUAAUCUUGCUGUUGGUUUUCUUGUAUCCUUUUGUUGCUAGAAAGCAAGCAAAAUAGCAUCUGUAUAACAUUCCCAUAAUCAAAGUGGUCUGUAGCAGGGAAAAUAGAACUCAUAAUUAAUGCAGAUGCAGCAAAUUAGUUAGAGCCAUUGCUGGCUGCUUUUAAAGUUACAAUUAGUUAAAGCUAUCAGUGGCUUUUAAAGUUAUGUGGAUGUGUGGGUAUACAGUAACUGUACUACUAUUCUGCAUUCACUUUAUCAGCAGUUUGUUUAAGGGUUCCUUAUGGAACAGCCACCUUCCAAUUCAUUUUCAAAAUGCAUGUUAACGACUUA